AACGCACCUUGCGCUCCUUGGUAUUCCGAGGAGCAUGCCUGUUUGAGUGUCAUGGUAUUCUCAACCCUGCUACAUUUUUUGUGUAGCUGGGCUUGGACUUGGAGGUUUAUUGCUGGUGUUCUCUUUUGAACACGGGCUCCUCUGAAAUGCAUUAGCUGGAAUGUUACCGAGCAUGAUUCAACGUGAUAAUUGUCUACAUUGCUUCAACUUGGUAUUAAUUCUGUUUCAGCUUCAAACCGUCCCUUGCGGACAAUAUCUUGAACAUCUGACCUCAAAUCAGGUAGGACUACCCGCUGAACUUAA
rnacentral:misc_RNA from 1 species